rnacentral:rRNA from 1 species
CCUACGUGCGGCAGCAGUGGGGAAUAUUGGGCAAUGGGCGCAAGCCUGACCCAGCAACGCCGCGUGAAGGAAGAAGGCUUUCGGGUUGUAAACUUCUUUUCUCAGGGACGAAGCAAGUGACGGUACCUGAGGAAUAAGCCACGGCAAACUACGUGCAAGCAGCGGCGGUAAUAAGUAGGUGGAAAGCGUUAUCCGGAUUUACUGGGUGAAAAGGGCGUGUAGGCGGGACUGCAAGUCAGAUGUGAAAACCACGGGCUCAACCUGUGGCCUGCAUUUGAAACUGUAGUUCUUGAGUACUGGAGAGGCAGACGGAAUUCCUAGUGUAGCGGUGAGAUGCGUAGAUAUUAGGAGGAACACCAGUGGCGAAGGCGGUCUGCUGGACAGCAACUGACGCUGAGGCGCGAAAGCGUGGGGAGCAAACAGGAUUAGAUACCCGAGUAGUC